UCAAAACCAGAAUCCAAAUGCUCUCUACUAGAUCCAACAGGGACGCUGAAUGGAAACAUAACAAGUCACGAAAACCCAGAACCAUGAACAUAUUAAGAAUCUAAAUGUUCAGUUCCUUCACCAUCUUAGGGAGGAGUGGAUACAGCUUAACAGAUACUGGACUGGAGAAGGUCUGUGAGACUGGAACUAUUAACAACUUGAAGGAGCAAAUUAAAAUUAAAUAAUGCCUACAAAUGAGAUGUGCCAGGAAUGCGGAUUUCAGCAGUUAAGCCUAUGGUAGCCAGCAGUGUACAAGAAAGCCAUGCCAAGAAUCAGAUAGGGACUGAAGAUUAGAGUGUGCCGCUAAGGUGUACCAGUCUUCAAGAAAAACGACACCAGUCUUCAAGAAAGAAGACACCUCAAGAAAAGGUG